UACGUAGGGUGCGAGCGUUAAUCGGAAUUACUGGGCGUAAAGCGUGCGCAGGCGGUUCGUUGUGUCUGUGGUGAAAGCCCCGGGCUUAACCUGGGAAUGGCCAUGGAAACUGGCGAGCUGGAGUGUGGCAGAGGGGGGGUGGAAUUCCGCGUGUAGCAGUGAAAUGCGUAGAGAUGCGGAGGAACACCGAUGGCGAAGGCAGCCCCCUGGGUUGACACUGACGCUCAGGCACGAAAGCGUGGGGAGCAAACAGG
rnacentral:rRNA from 1 species